rnacentral:lncRNA from 1 species
UGUGUGUGUGUGCGUGCCUGCGUGCGUGCGUGCGUGCAUGUGUGCGUGUGUGCGUGUGUAAGAAGAGUGUAUUUGAAGAGUGUGUGAAAAGUAGAGAUGGAGAGAGACAGUUGGGUGAGAGAUGGAGAGAGACAGUUGGGUGAGAGAUGGAGAGAGACAGUUGGGUGAGAGAUGGAGAGAGACAGUUGGGUGAGAGGAGAGAUGGAGAGAGACAGUUGGGUGAGAGAUGGAGAGAGACAGUUGAGUGAGAGAUGGAAAGAGACAGUUGGAGGAGAGAUGGAGAGAGACAGUUGAGUGAGAGAUGGAGAGAGACAGUUGGGUGAGAGAUGGAGAGAGACAGUUGGGUGAGAGGAGAGAUGGAGAGAGACAGUUGGGUGAGAGAUGGAGAGAGACAGUUGGGUGAGAGAUGGAGAGAGACAGUUGGGUGAGAGGAGAGAUGGAGAGAGACAGUUGGGUGAGAGAUGGAGAGAGACAGUUGGGUGAGAGAUGGAGAGAGACAGUUGGGUGAGAGAUGGUGAGAGACAGUUGGGUGAGAGAUGGAGAGAGACAGUUGGGUGAGAGAUGGAGAGAGACAGUUGGGUGAGAGAUGGAGAGAGACAGUAAAUAGAAUAUGUUAUUCUAAGUACCUACCCACUGGGCACAGACGUCAAUUCAACACCUAGUUUGGAUUUACAUUUGGUUGAGUCGUCAACUAACGUGAAUUCAAUGUAAAAUCAACUAAAAUUCAACAUGUCAUUUGAUUUAGGUGAAAAAAGAAUACAACAUUUCCUUACGUUGAGGACUUUUUGCAAAUCCAAUCCGUUUUCCACGUUGAUUCAGCGGCAUCAAAUUACAUUUUUCUGGUUGAAAUUACGCGGAAACAAAGUUGUUUCAACCAGUCUUUUCCCCAGUGGGUACAUAUCAUCAGACAACAUUGGUGUCAUUGAGGGAAUUAAAUUAAAUGUAUCAUUCUUUGCAUUACAGGAGAAGUGUGUGUGUGUGUGUGUGUGUGUGUGUGUGUGUGUGUGUGUGUGUGUGUGUGUGUGUGUGUGUGUGUGUGUGUGUGUGUGUGUGUGUGUGUGUGUGUGUGUGUGUGUGUGUCCUCUCACCUGGCUAUUCCAGUGAACCUGGACCGAGUCUGAUGCACACCUGUCACUCUGCCUCCAGAAGAAAAGAGUCCCAGAUGUUCGUGGUGGGGGCUCAGAGCAGUGUGAAUAACUACUACUGACGUAACUCACAAAACAGAUGAACGUGACACAUGAAGAGUGCUGAAUAUAUGAAUGCAUUUCUAUCCUAAUUUACAAUUACAUGUGGAAUUGUUGUAUUCAUUUGAUGGGUAUAGACUGUAAGUCAUGUCUCUGAUGGGUAUAGACUGUAAGUCAUGUCUCUUUGAUGGGUAUAGAUUUAAGUCAUGUCUGAUGAGUAUAGACUGUAAGUCAUGUCUCUUUGAUGCACGUUCAUAAGAUCUCAAAUGCUGAAAGAUCUUUUCGAAAAUACUCAUUGAUUGUAAAUGUUUUUUCCCCUCUUUUUGUUGCUGUCUUUAAUUUAGAGAUUAAUUCUGAUGGACCUUUAUAAAAUGGCACUAUAGUUGAUAAAUUAAGUUACAUCAUAUUCAUAAGCUAUCUAAGCAGGAUGAUAAAAACAAAUAGGCUACCUCUUAAUGAAUAACCCCUGUUUGAGUAAUAGCUUAUCAUCUGAAAAGAUAUAUUCAUGUAAGAAUAUUCUGUAAGUUUGCUAAUAUGCCAAAUAGGCUAUGUUACAAAAGUAAGAUAGAUGUCUGAAACGCCAGUUCAUCCAAGCCAUAACGUAGGCGCUACCUAUCACGUAUAUAUCGAAUGAUCUUCACUUCUGUCAAAGAAUGCAAAUGGUUGAAUGAUGACUUGUCAAAAGUCAAUCGUUUUUUCCUACUAAGCACCUUUUGCUGAGCACAUUACAUUGGUAAAAUGUUCUAAGGCAUUUGUGGUUUGUUCAUAUUUCAUGUUUAGUUACAUGUCGGUGCAGGCAUACAGCUAGUAGACUAUGGCGACAGCGGGGUGUCUUCAAGGCAAGAAUAGCCUAGGAUACACUGUUGUGAGACGCUCUGAACAUCAAAAUGCCCAACAACAAGUCUACAUUUUCCACAGUCGUGACAUCGCGCCAAGGAGACGCAUAUUCUCUCAAUAAUCAUGUUGGAGUUGUCAUUUUGGCUCACAAAUGUACAGUGCAACGGAAUAAAAUGUUAGAAAUUCA